CGGCCAAUGACGAGAUAAACACGAAUAUAACAGUUACAUUUACAAAUGAUAAACAACGGACAAGAAAACAAGUAAACAACGGGCAAAGACCACUAGCUAGACUUAGUAACAUUGACAUUGAGUGACCUUAACCCUUAGUAAAAUGUUUCAACGGAAAAACAAUUAGCGGAAAUUAAAGCGCCGAAACGCUAGUUCGAAAUCCGCAAUGGAAGGCCUGCUUUCGCAUAAACACAUUCACAUGCACAAAAUAAAAAAUUACACUGGCCUGUAGGCCAAGUGUCUUAAAUCCCUCUUUUUUCUGUUUUCUGUUUUCGACGAGAAAUGGAGUUUGCGUUAGGUCAUCGCAGGCUCAGGAUGCAACGUGCUCCAGUGAUAUAUUUAGUUCAGUUUCAAAAUGGCGGCUUUUCACUGAGUGAUCUAAUAUAUAUUUCACACAGUUUCGUUGAAUUUUCAAGGAAUUGUGCCGGUUUCCUAUGGAUUUUACGCUGUGAAUUGUGAAUUGUGAACUUUAUUUACCCACGGUAGAC